CACGUAGGGCGCGAGCGUUGUCCGGAAUUAUUGGGGCGUAAAGAGCUCGUAGGCGGCCUGUUACGUCUGCUGUGAAAUCCCAGGGCUUAACCCUGGGCCUGCAGUGGAUACGGGCAGGCUAGAGGCAGGCAGGGGGAGAACGGAAUUCCCGGUGUAGCGGUGAAAUGCGCAGAUAUCGGGAAGGAACACCGGUGGCGAAGGCGGUUCUCUGGGCCUGACUGACGCUGAGGAGCGAAAGCGUGGGGAGCGAACAGGAUUAGAAACCCG
rnacentral:rRNA from 1 species